rnacentral:tRNA from 8 species
GCCCCCGUUGUGUAGCGGCCUAGCACGUCGCCCUCUCAAGGCGGUAGCGCCGGUUCGAAUCCGGUCGGGGGUA